GUGGACCUAGCAGAAUAGAAAGUUAUUUACUCCUAGUUAAACUUCCCAUAGGAAGGAUAUAUAAAGCUUUCAAAGAAAAAUUAAGUUUUAAAGACAAAUUGAAUUAAUAACGAUGCUAUAUAUUAGAAAUUUGACUUUAAAAAGGACAUGAUAAGGAGGAGAAAUUGUUAGAAGUUCUACGUAUUGAAACCAAACAGGACGAUCUGGCCAUAAACGUAACAGAAUUAUAUUUUCAGCACAAAUAUAAUUUUGUCAGGAAAUACAUUAGAAAACACAAUUUACAUUCCUGGAAUGACCAUGCGCAAAACACGUACGUACAUAUUUAGAUGCGUUUCUGCACUAGCCUCAUAUUGACCAUACACUUGUUUGCCUCUUCGCCUGAAACAAAUAUGAAGAAGAAAACAUAAAGAAAGAAAAUGGAGAGAUGCACAAUUGAUCCUCAUGAUAUCAGAGUAAAUAGAGAUUUGAUUCAAUUCUUCCAUCACCUAUAUUUAUGAAAGAAAUAUUCAUGAAGAAAAGAAUCAACGUUACCGCAACGGUGUAUUGCUAAUUAAGUAUAAUUAAGCAAAUAAAAACGGCAACGGUGUAUUGCUAAGUAUAAUUAAGCAAAUAAAAACUGUGUGAUGAGAUAGUGACACGCUUCUAACACCACACUAUUCCAAGUUGUGGCUUUCUAUAAUUUCCUCUUCGCCUAAGCUACGACGUCCCCUUUAAACAAGGAGAAAACAGAUUGCAUAAUUGCAUUUCUGCAUGCAUGCAGGCUGCAGCAUAAUUAGUUUUCAUCAAAAAUGAUCUAAUCCUCAGUUGGCAGUGGACAUGUACCAUUUAGGAAACUGCAUGCAUGCAUGGAUCGAUAUAUACGUUAACACCACAGUCUUAGACUCCACAAAUACUCCAUUAAUUAAUAUCAAAUGCCAUGGAAGAGGACUGAGGGAAAAAGGAAGAGGAAGAGAAAAAGUGAAAAGGCAAAAACAAGCAACGUCUAUAUAUGCUCAAAGACUCCUCAUGAUGCAAGAAAAAUAAUAAAUAGAAAUGGAGCUAGGAAGAGAAGAACAGCGUCGUUGUAUGCACAUCGAUUAUAAGUAAACAUAUUAGUUUGGAUAUAGAAAUGGAAAUUUUUCACUAGGGCAUGCACAAGAUAAAAAGAGGGCAUAGUUCAGUCGCACGCAGCGUGGCACCGUCAAUCUUUGCAAUUGUAUGGAUGGAGCCACGCUGAGUACGCCUAAACUACUUCUUCUUUCUCUUUUCUUCAUCUACGUACUUCCAUCUCCAAACAAGAACAAUCGUUGUUAUUCGUAUAAUUUGUGUGUAUGCGUGCAUAUAUAUUGCGUAGUAGUAUAUAUUAAAAGUAUAUAAUGACUUGUAAUAUAUUAACUGCAAAACACAAAAAGCUGUCAAAUCUCUAUCUUUUAACAUGGAGAGCCGGUGGCAAAUGCCAGAUGUAGCUUAAAGAGCGAAUAAUUCCAGGAAAUUGCCAUGUGAAAAUACCAUAUGGAAGUAUGAAGCUAGCUGAAACGGUGAUGAUAAGGUCCUUACGCAUUACUAUAACAGGGAGAAGAAAAGUUAUCUCCAGUAAGCAUCCAAGUGGCACUACCUG
rnacentral:lncRNA from 1 species